GGGAACCUCACCAGGCCCGUACACAGGAAGGAUUGAUAGAUUGAGAGUGGUGGUGCAUGGCCGUUCUUAGUUGGUGGAGUGAUUUGUCUGGUUAAUUCCGUUAACGAACGAGACCCCAGCCUGCUAAAUAAUCACGCUAAUGACUUUUCAUUGGCGAUUGGUUUCUUAGAGGGACAUGUAGUAUAAAACUACAGGAAGAUUGGGGCAAUAA
rnacentral:rRNA from 1 species